rnacentral:rRNA from 1 species
UACAGAGGGUGCGAGCGUUAAUCGGAAUUACUGGGCGUAAAGCGUGCGUAGACGGUUACGUAAGUUAGGUGUGAAAGCCCCGGGCUCAACCUGGGAAUUGCAUUUAAGACUGCGUAGCUAGGGUGCGGAAGAGGGAAGCGGAAUUUCCGGUGUAGCGGUGAAAUGCGUAGAUAUCGGAAGGAACAUCAGUGGCGAAAGCGGCUUCCUGGUCCAGCACCGACGUUCAGGCACGAAAGCGUGGGGAGCAAACAGG